CAAUCUCCUGUCAGGAUGGUGGGUUGAACUUUGCUCUUAAGUUCCUUUUGCAGCUCCAACCCUGGCUGUGGCAUCGCUUGGCCUUGGAGGCCGUUGGGAUCCAUUGCUGACGUGGUGGCUCCAGCACUGGUCCUUUGCAGCAGGCAGCUUUUCUUCCAGGAUGCAGAAACCAUGGCUGGGACCCUAAGCUAACAGCAGGGAGCUCUCUGAAAGAGGCGCCAAGCUGCAGGACAAUUACAAAGCCGGGCUGCCAGGACAAAUGGGUUAGACUGACCCAAUAUAAAUCCCUGGAAGUUGGUGGUCUUGGUGGUUGCUUCUCUGAGUGGUGCCUGUCAGCAUUCAGGAAAUUAUGAGUUCAGCUAGCUGUUAGCAGAGGAAAGAUCUCCAUUAAUCUGUUCUCUAUUGAUAUCUGGAGGCUUUGCUUGGAUUUCAGACUCCACCAAAAUGUAAAUCUACCACCAGGUUGGUAAGCAACCAUGCUAAGUCCAUCUUCCAGCAAAGCACCACCACUUUUAUUAAGAAGAGUUUUGCUACAGCUAAUGAAUUCAUUUUAAAGGGAGGGUAGGGAGAGGGCCCAUGUGACAUUUCAGAUGUAAUUCUGCCAGGAUUUCCUGUAGUUUAGUCUCUUUUAUGAAAUAUUUCCCUUUAUCUCUUAUAAGAACCCUGAUUCACUAAAUUACUCCUUUAACUAACUUUUGUUUAAAGGUAGGCCUGCAUGUUCCUUGCUGACUCAGGGCCAUGGCUGACAGUGAAAUGCUACCCAGAAAAAUCCCCAAAGGUCAGUUUUCAGUAUUAUUUUUUGACAUGAACUCAAAGAGGUUGGCAAAAAUGCUUCAGUAGUGUUUUUCCUGAAAAAACUGAGCAAUAUUAUAUAUCUGUCUUUCUGCAAAUAUGAAUAUCUGGUACAAACCACAGUUUGUCUGGCUAUGUUCUGUUUUCUUCUUCUAUUCUGAGUAUUCAUUUCUGCAGAUAAAUGGCUUGCAGUAGUCUGUCAUAUAAAUGGUCAUUAACAAAUCAAAGCUGGAAUUUUCAAAAACAGUCAGCAUAAGCCUAGAUCUACUCUUGUUCAAGUUACUGGCAAAACCCUUAGAGACGUUAUUUUUCUUUUUCUACAGAUAGCCUCUCAUAAACCUAGAAUAUUUCCCCAUUUCUGGUAGAAUCAUUAUAGGAGUUAUUGCAUAAGGAAAG
rnacentral:lncRNA from 1 species